rnacentral:lncRNA from 1 species
CUCUUCUUGAUGGGCCACAUCACACCUACCAAUCAAAUCGUGUUUCCAUUCCUCGUAGCCUGGCUCUUUUCCGGACGGCGUUACCAAUGAGAAAUGCCCAGCCCCGAGUGCUCCUCUCUGAUUGGCGAGCUCGGCAGUUCCCGGAACACCUUUUCUGAAGCAGAUUGGCCAUCCUGGUGUCUGGCCUCGCCUCCCAGGGGGUGGGCUGCUGAGGACGUGACUGUCGGUGGUGGAAGUGGAUGCCCUUCAAAGGGCUGAGCUAACCGCUUCUUGAUUGGUUGGAAGCUGCACUUACUACGUGGCGGAUUCUGACUGUGAAGGUCUGGACGGACCCCCUGGAAAGGAGGAGUCGGGGCUAAGUCCCUGGUGGCCGGGAGGCUCCGAGAGUAAAGAGGCUUUGGCUGCGGCGCCUCCGUGUCUGUUUGGAAAGGCAAAAGCGAGUCAGAAAAAAAAUAAAUAAAGCGACUGCAGAGCGGUAUGAUCUGGAGGUACCUGCAGGGAUGGGGCGGUGCAGGGGACAGCCCUGUGGCCUGGACGCUGGUUAGGGAUUCAGGGACCUGUACAUAACCCCGUCCGCUCCUUACCGACUGUUAGGGCCCGGCCGGUGCACUCACGUCAUUGUCCAAGGUCACAGAGCAAGUUACAGAAUAGGACUUCAGAGUUCUCUGACUCUGGUGUGGCAGGCUUUGUACCUCCCGCCAGGCUGAAACCAUCAAGAUGAGACGCAGAGCCCGAAGUGGAGAUGCGAAUGGCCAAUCAAGGCUUGCGAACUUCUGCAGCAGUUAAGAACGCCCGGGAGAUUUUUGAGCAGAUGAAAGGAACGAUUAGUUGCACCCUUCAUCCGUGUGUUCAGAAGAGUGGAGGUGAAGAUGACACCUCUUGGAAACCCCAAGAAGAGUUCUUAGGAGGCUGGCAAUUUGUGUAUAUACUUACGUGAUUCCCCAUGCGCGUACAAGCAUGUUCUGUUUACUCCCGUCCAAAACAAAGCAAAACCUGAUCUCCCUCUCCAGCUCUCACCACGUUGCUUUGCCCUCCUGCACAGCAAAACUCUAGACUCCUGUCUUCAUUUCCUUUCUCCCAUUCUUAGGCUCACUACAGUCAGGACUUCCAUCCUAAACUUCACCAGAAUCGUUCUGGCAGUUGCUAGCAAAGGGCCGCUCUUCCGUGCCACAUUUGACUCAGCGACUCAGUCCUUGCCUUGUGAAAUACUUUCCCACUGGUUUUCCUGCUUCCCCAUAAGGCAGUCACUGGGACUGGGAUGGUGCCCCAGUCACUCAGAACGGGAGCCAGGCCUCACGUAGACCACAGGGUGCCCCAGGAUCUGAGUCCCAUGCCUCUUAUUUCCUACUAUGUGCACACUCUGUCCUGACCCUGUGGCCGCCUUGCUGUGAUAAAGCCAGGUCCCACCUAGGGGUCUUCCUGUGAGCUUUGCCUGCCUAGGACACUUCCCUGUGUAUUAGUGUACGGAGGUUGCCAUGUCCAGCACCACAGACUGAGUGGCUUAAACAAUGGGAG